rnacentral:rRNA from 1 species
CCCUUAGACGUUCUGGGCCGCACGCGCGCUACACUGACCAGUGCAACAAGCAUCCGUCCUUGGCCGACAGGCUCGGGCAAUCUUUGAACGCUGGUCGUGAUGGGGAUAGACUUUUGCAAUUUUUGGUCUUCAACGAGGAAUUCCUAGUAAACGCAAGUCAUCAACUUGCAUUGAUUACGUCCCUGCCCUUUGUACACACCGCCCGUCGCACCUACCGAUUGAAUGGUCCGGUGAAAUCUUUGGACUAUGGCUUUGUCUUUGUCUUCGGGCGAAGCGCUGCCGUGGGAAGUUGAUUAAACCUUNCNAUUUAGNGGAAGGUGAANUCGUANCA